GCUUUCCUUUUCCUUUGUUCGUGCCUGAGCCUUCAGGUUGCUCAUACAUAACUGAAAACAUUUAAUUUAAGCAAGGGUGAGCAUUUGAGUGCCCAGCAAGUAAUAGCAAUUAUAUAUAUAAGCUGAAAGAAUAUAAGCAUUCUCUUUACAUAACACUUCUACAACGAAUCAAAAGUUGUGAAGUAAUCUGUACUGAUAAAAGAUUCACAUAACAACUCUCUUUCAAAUUCUUAAAAUGAGGCUCCACCCAUGAAUAGGGUUUAAGAAACAUACUAUGAACAUUCUUUUUCAUUUUCGAAAAGGUUUAGCAGAAAUUCAUCCGCAAACCGUCAUAACUUAUGGGCACGGAGGGUGAUCAGCCCCGUUGUACCCUGUAUUGAUCAAUACUACAUAACUAGAACGACAUUCAUCGCUCAUCCUUUGUCCGCCGAAGCGCAUAAAAAUUUUCCCAUUAUCGGGAUGUUCAUACAUGCCUGGUUCCAAACCCGAAGGUUUUUAAUCUUGCUCAACAAUAAUAUGUAAUUCAACAUAUAUGUAUACGGGUAAUUGACAUGGUAUAUCAACAUGUGAAUAAAUGCCAUGAUUAUCCAAGUGGGGACACUUGUAUAACCAUUUAGAAAUCAACUUAACAGAAUAUAUAUCUGAGCUAACAUGUUGAUAAUCGAAGCGUACAUAAUCUGUACAGGAAUAUAAUAAUUCUGAAACUUCUUACUCGUGUCCAUUGCAUAAAGGAAAUGCAAAAGGUAGGAUACUUGCCUGAUUUGCUGAUUACAAAUCUCAACUUAGAUCUUAUCUCUUUAUCACAACCUAUCAAUAAACAGGCCAUUUGUCCGAUUAGAACAAUAUAUCAUAACACAUAGUACUGUUAGUUAUGGUCAGCACAUAAUCGCAGUGAUCAUACUUUUAGUUCACAUUCUAUACUUUUAUACAUUUUUCAAAUAUCUCAUCCAUGUUCUUACAGUAGUCUUUUCUUUCUAUUAUAGGGUCCGACAGUUGUCGGCGUACCGACAGCUUUAUCGGGUACAUACUGAGUCUAAGANNN
rnacentral:lncRNA from 1 species